rnacentral:rRNA from 1 species
GAAUUCACUAGUGAUUGGCGGCGUGGUUAAGACAUGCAAGUCGAACGAGAGAAUUGCUAGCUUGCUAAUAAUUCUCUAGUGGCGCACGGGUGAGUAACACGUGAGUAACCUGCCCCCGAGAGCGGGAUAGCCCUGGGAAACUGGGAUUAAUACCGCAUAGUAUCGAAAGAUUAAAGCAGCAAUGCGCUUGGGGAUGGGCUCGCGGCCUAUUAGUUAGUUGGUGAGGUAACGGCUCACCAAGGCGAUGACGGGUAGCCGGUCUGAGAGGAUGUCCGGCCACACUGGAACUGAGACACGGUCCAGACACCUACGGGUGGCAGCAGUCGAGAAUCAUUCACAAUGGGGGAAACCCUGAUGGUGCGACGCCGCGUGGGGGAAUGAAGGUCUUCGGAUUGUAAACCCCUGUCAUGUGGGAGCAAAUUAAAAAGAUAGUACCACAAGAGGAAGAGACGGCUAACUCUGUGCCAGCAGCCGCGGUAAUACAGAGGUCUCAAGCGUUGUUCGGAAUCACUGGGCGUAAAGCGUGCGUAGGCUGUUUCGUAAGUCGUGUGUGAAAGGCGCGGGCUCAACCCGCGGACGGCACAUGAUACUGCGAGACUAGAGUAAUGGAGGGGGAACCGGAAUUCACGGUGUAGCAA